UGAACGCUGGCGGCGUGCCUAAUACAUGCAAGUCGAGCGAACAGACGAGGAGCUUGCUCCUCUGACGUUAGCGGCGGACGGGUGAGUAACACGUGGAUAACCUACCUAUAAGACUGGGAUAACUUCGGGAAACCGGAGCUAAUACCGGAUAAUAUAUUGAACCGCAUGGUUCAAUAGUGAAAGACGGUUUUGCUGUCACUUGUAGAUGGAUCCGCGCCGCAUUAGCUAGUUGGUAAGGUAACGGCUUACCAAGGCAACGAUGCGUAGCCGACCUGAGAGGGUGAUCGGCCACACUGGAACUGAGACACGGUCCAGACUCCUACGGGAGGCAGCAGUAGGGAAUCUUCCGCAAUGGGCGAAAGCCUGACGGAGCAACGCCGCGUGAGUGAUGAAGGUCUUCGGAUCGUAAAACUCUGUUAUUAGGGAAGAACAAAUGUGUAAGUAACUAUGCACGUCUUGACGGUACCUAAUCAGAAAGCCACGGCUAACUACGUG
rnacentral:rRNA from 1 species